rnacentral:rRNA from 1 species
UACGUAGGGUGCGAGCGUUGUCCGGAAUUAUUGGGCGUAAAGAGCUUGUAGGCGGUCUGUCGCGUCUGCUGUGAAAAUCCGGGGCUCAACCCCGGACUUGCAGUGGGUACGGGCAGACUAGAGUGUGGUAGGGGAGACUGGAAUUCCUGGUGUAGCGGUGAAAUGCGCAGAUAUCAGGAGGAACACCGAUGGCGAAGGCAGGUCUCUGGGCCACUACCGACGCUGAGAAGCGAAAGCAUGGGGAGCGAACAGG